GCAAAUAAGUAUUAGUUUUUCAGUUCAUUAAGUUCACAUAACAAAGUGACCAAUGUAACGAAACAUUACAAACAGGUAUACUGUUAUAAAAUGAAUAGUUGUGGUACCUAAAGGGAUAGUCACCCAAAAAUGUCUCAUCAUUUACACACCUUCAUAUACCUUCACGUAUAUGGCUUUCUUUCUUUAGAUCAACACAAACAAAGAUUUUUAGGUAAAUAAUACAUCUCUGUGAGUUCAUAUAAUGCAAGUGAAUGGGUGCUGCUUGGUUGACGCUUCAAAAACCACAUGCAGAGAUUGUAACGGUAAUACAUACGACCACAGUGGAUGAAUCAAUGCCUUCUGAAUGAUAGCUGUGUGUAUAUAUAUUAUAAAAAAAACUCAGAUUUUUUGGCUGUGUUCCCACUUUACAGGUUUAGUUCAAUUAAAACAAACUGUGGUGCGAUUGCUCUGUUAUGGUGCUUUUCCACUGCAUGGUGCGGCUUGGUACGGCUUGCUUAAAUAGUACCACCUCAGUUGAGGUUCCAAGCGAGCCGUACCGAUACUAAAAUGUGACGUGAAAACACUGCAGAUCACCGAUUGGUCACAGAGAAUCGUCACUACCAGCGUCAUUGGACUUGAAACACAAGACACCAAACCCGCUAGAUUUAAAUAGUCAGUAACAGUCACCGCAGUAUCAUUUGUUCGCACAACUUUUUUAAAUGACUUUCCGUCACACGCAACUUGAAAAAAGAAAAGGCUGUAUGGUGGUCAGUAGAUAAGGUGCAGAUGUUCCUCUCGUUGGUAGCCAAGGAGUGGAUCCACGGCAGUAGAGGCGGCACAACUAUAAUGAUGCGUCUAUAAUCACACACACUUUGAAACAGUAUUGAACUGCAGUUGAAAAGCAAACCGAAAGUAAAGUGAACCAGGACUAAAUGUUUCAUUUUCAUUUUUUGGUCUGAGAAUCGAACUACAAGCGUGAACACACCCUAAAUGUGCAGUGAAGUUUGCACAAGAAGUAACACAGAGACACAAAAUAUUGCCACUUGUCACAUGUCACAACAUCCCUCUGAUGAACACCCCAGAAGCAAUGAUUUAUAGUAAAAUCAAUAAAAAAAAAAAAAAAAAAAAAAAGUAUUUUUCUUACAAACACCAAUCGUUCGGCUUCAGAAGACAUUGACAUUUAUUCACUGGGGCUGUAUGGAUUACCGUCAUGAUCACUGCCUGUGGUUUUUGGAUGACAUGAGGAUCCAAUAAACUCUUACAGGUUUGGAACAACUUCAGGAUACGGCGUAUGCUUAUGCUGAGCCGUAAGGCUUACCUGCUGCUGUAUGGUGAGCGAGGGCAUCUGAUAGAUGAGGAUGUUGUGCUCUGCGGUGACUGUGGCCAGUCUGUUGGACAGAGGCAUGGGCAGAAGGUGCAUCAGACUGCGCGGGUUCAGAUCGGCCUCCUCUGUGCUGAGAGCUGGGGCGUCGGGCAGCGUCUGCGUGAACACACAACGCGCUGAGCUGGAGUCCCACACUUGAAGAACACCUGCGGAGAACAUCGCAACAUACACUUACACAACAACUACUCAGAGGAGACUCAACAUAUGCAACACACAGGAGCAAAAUCAUUCCUUUUUAAUGCAUACAAUAAAAAAGCCUACAAAUAAGCAAAA